AAAAAAAAAAAAAAAGUGUGAUUUGCUAUCAUGUGAUAAUGAGGCUUUCAUAAUGAAAUUUUUUGGUCAAGUUUUAGUUUCCUCAAAAAAUGCAGAAGAAGCACUUAAUGAGAUUUUCGACUUUACAGAAAUGAAAGAGGGCAGUUUCCUUAGACCUGUGCCAAUAAGGUGGCUAUCAUUGUUGCCAGCCACAGAAAAGACAUUAAAAUGUUGGUCUGCCAUUAAAUCACAUUUUCAACAUGUGGGACAAGAAGAAUGGCUUUCUCUAAUUUGCAAAUAGUUUGAGAUGGGAAUAGAGGAAAGGGCUACAGUAAAACAAUUUAUAUGCUGUUUCUCUAAUUCUGUUUGAUGAUCUUUGAAGAGGUCAUAUGGAGCAUAGAAAACGAUGAACUGCACCUCAGUUGUUUGACAUUGUAUGUAGGUUAUGACAGAAACUCAUACAGUGAAAAAAAAUGACAUUUAGGAGGAAAUAAGACUGACUCAGAAGUCAAAAAUAUGUCACCAGAAAGGGCAGUCAAGUUAAACAGCACUAAAAACUGUAAUUUAUUUGAAAUCCACCUUCAGUUUAAGUUCGAAUUACCUCUGUGCUUUAAAAACCUAUUCCCUGAGAAAGAAAAGUUUACUUGCAAUGAUAUCCAGUGUGCUUCAGAGUAUCUAAAAACAGUGGACAUUUUAGACAUGGCAAACACUACAUGAUGAAUUUAAGGAUGCAAAGGGCCAAAUGCCCAAAAGCCAGCCUACUAAAUUAAGCCUGUAGAUAUAAAGUGGAUGGACAUUUUUGUAAAGCUGGAAACUAAUUCCUUACAAGUCUAGAAACCUGCUAUUAAUAAGUACGGUCAUAUUCCAUGAUCAAAUUCCCUUGUUGACAGGAUAUCUAACUUGCUGUCAUUGCAUUGGCCUGCCACCAGGGGUCAGCAUAAUGUGGGACUUCAUAAGAGCAGACCUCAGAGGCCUUGACUUUGAAUGUAUUCAGUUUUACGACUACAUAAAAGAAAAGAAGGAUAUCCUGAAGGCUGCAGGCAGUUCAGAGAAGUAUUAUUGGAAGAGGACACACAAAGAGCAAAAAUAUCCUACUUUAUCAUGGAACAUAAAGAAAUGUCAAUUUUUAUUAAUUAUAAGUAAUGUCUGUUUACUCAGCCCCAUUGUAUUUACAUUCAACUUUUUAAAGGUCUUAUAUUUAUGUAUCUUAAAAAGACAUAAUAUGGCCUAUAAAAUGUAAAUAUCCUAUAAAGAGUUAAAAUCUGUAUCAGAGGAAAAAACUAUUUAUAAUGUUAUAUUAUUCUCACACAUACUAUUUGUUUAAUUGGUUCCACUAUUUAUAACUACUAAUUGCCACUGUUAACUAGUCCUACUGUUUUUCUUAAAUAAUGGCAUUUAUGUAACAAAAAAGCAAAUAAUAUAUAAUUUUAAAUAAAUGCCUAAUUUAUAUUUUAUGUUAAAAUAAUCAUGUGUGUGUAAGUAUUUAUUACAUAUUGUACUAAUUUUUUGGUCUGUUGUAGCUGUGUCUUGAGUUGGCACUCUAAAAGUUAGUCACCCUACUACACAUGUAGAUGGCCUUCAUAGAGCCUGACAUGCAGAAUUCAGUUCUGAAACGCUUGAUAAUUAUUGGACAGGUAUUUCUACUGUUUGCUCUUCUCUUGAAACAGUUUCAUUUAAAAGCUUCCAGAGGAAGUAUGCACUGAUAUAUUUCAUAUGUCUGAAUGAGAUAAUGUCAGAUUAAUUGAAGAUAAACUCAAGCUAGCCAUUAAAUAUAUGAAUGAGGUAAUUGUGAAGAAAGUAAAAAAAUUGUUUUGUUAACCUUAAAACCUAAGUUCAGAAAUUUUAUGGUAUAUUCUCUUUUUUAGCAAAAAUACCUGGACAAGCCCCUUCUUGGCUUCUAAAAAGAUAUCUUGAGCUCCCAAACUAUGAUUCAGAGGCUUAGCAAAGACCAACAAAGAUAUUUUUUAGAAACCGAUGAGAGGCCGGUCCAGGAAACAAUUCAGCCCAGAAUCAAUGAUUUGUAUGGAAACUGUGUCAAAGUGACAUCCUUGAAGUGUCCUAUGAGCAAACAAACUCCCAUCUGGACUGAGAAGACAAGGAUACCAACGGAAGUCCCAACUGUUGGCAUAUUAAAGGCAAGGACUAUAUUUUUCAUACCUAUUUACCAAACCAAACAUAAUGCCGGAUACAUAAUAAUGAUUCAAUGAGUAUUUGCUGAAUGGCCUAGGAAUGGCUUCUCAAGAGACUGUAGGUAAAUUCAGUUUAUUUGCCAGCACUGCCAGAUAUUGUAAUCAUACAUACCCUCAAUCAUUGUCUUUUAAGUCUAGCUUAAUUCAGUGAGUGCUUUAGUCAUCUGUUUCCUUUCUUUUUAGUAAUGGAUAAUUCCUUUUUUAAAAGCAUUAUUGUGGAUAUUUCAAGCAUAAACAAAAGUAGAAUAGAAUAAUGAACCACUGGUGCCUGUCACCCACCCUUAAUAGUUAUCAGCAUCCUGCUAUUCUUGUUUCAUCUAUAUUCCCACUGCUUUUUUUUUUUUUUUGCUAAAGUAGUUAAAGCAAAGUCAGCAAAUCAUAUUGUUUUGCCCAUAAAUAGUUCAGUGUAUAUAUCUAACUAGAUAAAGCAUAAUGUAUUUCUUGCUUUUAUUCUAAGUGUAUUCUACUUUUUCUUAUGCUGUCUACAUAUCAAUUUAGGCAUCAUAAUGAUAAGUAACACUGCUACAUCCUUUAAAAUGUCUACCUAUUUUCCUUCAGGCUUUACUUAGGGUUCUUUUUUCCCCCUCUCUCUACCUCUGUAUAUUGAAUUAUUUUUAAUUGUGUUAAAAUACACGACAUAAAAUUUACCAUCUGAACUAUUUUUAAGCGUCAAGUUCAGCGGUGUUAAUAAGUACAUUCACACUGUCGUGCACACCAUCUCCAGAACUCUUUUUGUCUCUUGCAAAGCUGAAACGCCACACCCAUUAAACAACAACUGCCCAUCUCCCUCCUCCCAGCCCCUGGCAACUAUCCUACUUUGACUGACUAUUCUCGGGAUCCCAUAUAAGUGGAAUCAAAUAUUUGGAAGACAAAUACAGUAUUUGUCUUUUUGUGACUAGCUUAUUUCACUUAGCAUAAUGUCCUCAAGGUUCAUCUAUG